GGAAAUCCAAUGGCUAAAACUAUGCAAUACACCAACCACUCCAUUUCAUAACGAACUUUGUACGAACCUGAAUUGUCCAAUUUCACGGACCAAUCGAUAUCGGAUUGAGUCCAAAACUUGGGGAACAUCAUAAUAUGGUGGGAGGAGUCAUUUGGUGAGGUUUGUGUGAAGUCCAAUCUCUAGAACUAUGCAAUACACCAACCACUCUAUUGCAUAACGAACUUCGUACGAAAAUAAAUUGUCCAA
rnacentral:lncRNA from 1 species